GCCCGUAUAGGGUAGCGGAUAUCCUACGGGGUUGCGGACCUCGUGACUCGCGUUCAAGUCGCGGUACGGGCA
rnacentral:tRNA from 1 species